rnacentral:ncRNA from 1 species
CGGGGGAACGCAGGCUCCCCGUCAGACGGCCACCGUCCAAGGACUGC